rnacentral:rRNA from 1 species
CCUACGGGUGGCUGCAGUGGGGAAUAUUGGACAAUGGGGGGAACCCUGAUCCAGCCAUGCCGCGUGUGUGAAGAAGGCCCUCGGGUUGUAAAGCACUUUCAGUGAGGAAGAACGCCUGGUGGUUAAUACCCAUCAGGAAAGACAUCACUCACAGAAGAAGCACCGGCUAACUCCGUGCCAGCAGCCGCGGUAAUGCGGAGGGUGCGAGCGUUAAUCGGAAUUACUGGGCGUAAAGCGCGCGUAGGUGGCUUGAUAAGCCGGUUGUGAAAGCCCCGGGCUCAACCUGGGAACGGCAUCCGGAACUGUCAAGCUAGAGUGCAGGAGAGGAAGGUAGAAUUCCCGGUGUAGCGGUGAAAUGCGUAGAGAUCGGGAGGAAUACCAGUGGCGAAGGCGGCCUUCUGGACUGACACUGACACUGAGGUGCGAAAGCGUGGGUAGCAAACAGGAUUAGAUACCCGAGUAGUC